rnacentral:tRNA from 1 species
GCCGAGGUGGCGGAAUUGGUAGACGCGCACGAUUUAGGAUCGUGUACCGCAAGGUGUGGAGGUUCGAGUCCUCUCCUCGGCA